rnacentral:rRNA from 1 species
UUAAGCGACUAAGCGUACACGGUGGAUGCCCUGGCAGUCAGAGGCGAUGAAGGACGUGCUAAUCUGCGAUAAGCGUCGGUAAGGUGAUAUGAACCGUUAUAACCGGCGAUUUCCGAAUGGGGAAACCCAGUGUGAUUCGUCACACUAUCAUUAACUGAAUCCAUAGGUUAAUGAGGCGAACCGGGGGAACUGAAACAUCUAAGUACCCCGAGGAAAAGAAAUCAACCGAGAUUCCCCCAGUAGCGGCGAGCGAACGGGGAGCAGCCCAGAGCCUGAAUCAGUGUGUGUGUUAGUGGAAGCGUCUGGAAAGGCGCGCGAUACAGGGUGACAGCCCCGUACACAAAAAUGCACAUAUUGUGAGCUCGAUGAGUAGGGCGGGACACGUGGUAUCCUGUCUGAAUAUGGGGGGACCAUCCUCCAAGGCUAAAUACUCCUGACUGACCGAUAGUGAACCAGUACCGUGAGGGAAAGGCGAAAAGAACCCCGGCGAGGGGAGUGAAAAAGAACCUGAAACCGUGUACGUACAAGCAGUGGGAGCACGCUUAGGCGUGUGACUGCGUACCUUUUGUAUAAUGGGUCAGCGACUUAUAUUCUGUAGCAAGGUUAACCGAAUAGGGGAGCCGAAGGGAAACCGAGUCUUAACUGGGCGUUAAGUUGCAGGGUAUAGACCCGAAACCCGGUGAUCUAGCCAUGGGCAGGUUGAAGGUUGGGUAACACUAACUGGAGGACCGAACCGACUAAUGUUGAAAAAUUAGCGGAUGACUUGUGGCUGGGGGUGAAAGGCCAAUCAAACCGGGAGAUAGCUGGUUCUCCCCGAAAGCUAUUUAGGUAGCGCCUCGUGAACUCAUCUCCGGGGGUAGAGCACUGUUUCGGCAAGGGGGUCAUCCCGACUUACCAACCCGAUGCAAACUGCGAAUACCGGAGAAUGUUAUCACGGGAGACACACGGCGGGUGCUAACGUCCGUCGUGAAGAGGGAAACAACCCAGACCGCCAGCUAAGGUCCCAAAGUCAUGGUUAAGUGGGAAACGAUGUGGGAAGGCCCAGACAGCCAGGAUGUUGGCUUAGAAGCAGCCAUCAUUUAAAGAAAGCGUAAUAGCUCACUGGUCGAGUCGGCCUGCGCGGAAGAUGUAACGGGGCUAAACCAUGCACCGAAGCUGCGGCAGCGACGCUUAUGCGUUGUUGGGUAGGGGAGCGUUCUGUAAGCCUGUGAAGGUGUGCUGUGAGGCAUGCUGGAGGUAUCAGAAGUGCGAAUGCUGACAUAAGUAACGAUAAAGCGGGUGAAAAGCCCGCUCGCCGGAAGACCAAGGGUUCCUGUCCAACGUUAAUCGGGGCAGGGUGAGUCGACCCCUAAGGCGAGGCCGAAAGGCGUAGUCGAUGGGAAACAGGUUAAUAUUCCUGUACUUGGUGUUACUGCGAAGGGGGGACGGAGAAGGCUAUGUUGGCCGGGCGACGGUUGUCCCGGUUUAAGCGUGUAGGCUGGUUUUCCAGGCAAAUCCGGAAAAUCAAGGCUGAGGCGUGAUGACGAGGCACUACGGUGCUGAAGCAACAAAUGCCCUGCUUCCAGGAAAAGCCUCUAAGCAUCAGGUAACAUCAAAUCGUACCCCAAACCGACACAGGUGGUCAGGUAGAGAAUACCAAGGCGCUUGAGAGAACUCGGGUGAAGGAACUAGGCAAAAUGGUGCCGUAACUUCGGGAGAAGGCACGCUGAUAUGUAGGUGAAGCGACUUGCUCGUGGAGCUGAAAUCAGUCGAAGAUACCAGCUGGCUGCAACUGUUUAUUAAAAACACAGCACUGUGCAAACACGAAAGUGGACGUAUACGGUGUGACGCCUGCCCGGUGCCGGAAGGUUAAUUGAUGGGGUCAGCGCAAGCGAAGCUCUUGAUCGAAGCCCCGGUAAACGGCGGCCGUAACUAUAACGGUCCUAAGGUAGCGAAAUUCCUUGUCGGGUAAGUUCCGACCUGCACGAAUGGCGUAAUGAUGGCCAGGCUGUCUCCACCCGAGACUCAGUGAAAUUGAACUCGCUGUGAAGAUGCAGUGUACCCGCGGCAAGACGGAAAGACCCCGUGAACCUUUACUAUAGCUUGACACUGAACAUUGAGCCUUGAUGUGUAGGAUAGGUGGGAGGCUUUGAAGUGUGGACGCCAGUCUGCAUGGAGCCGACCUUGAAAUACCACCCUUUAAUGUUUGAUGUUCUAACGUUGACCCGUAAUCCGGGUUGCGGACAGUGUCUGGUGGGUAGUUUGACUGGGGCGGUCUCCUCCUAAAGAGUAACGGAGGAGCACGAAGGUUGGCUAAUCCUGGUCGGACAUCAGGAGGUUAGUGCAAUGGCAUAAGCCAGCUUGACUGCGAGCGUGACGGCGCGAGCAGGUGCGAAAGCAGGUCAUAGUGAUCCGGUGGUUCUGAAUGGAAGGGCCAUCGCUCAACGGAUAAAAGGUACUCCGGGGAUAACAGGCUGAUACCGCCCAAGAGUUCAUAUCGACGGCGGUGUUUGGCACCUCGAUGUCGGCUCAUCACAUCCUGGGGCUGAAGUAGGUCCCAAGGGUAUGGCUGUUCGCCAUUUAAAGUGGUACGCGAGCUGGGUUUAGAACGUCGUGAGACAGUUCGGUCCCUAUCUGCCGUGGGCGCUGGAGAACUGAGGGGGGCUGCUCCUAGUACGAGAGGACCGGAGUGGACGCAUCACUGGUGUUCGGGUUGUCAUGCCAAUGGCACUGCCCGGUAGCUAAAUGCGGAAGAGAUAAGUGCUGAAAGCAUCUAAGCACGAAACUUGCCCCGAGAUGAGUUCUCCCUGACCCUUUAAGGGUCCUGAAGGAACGUUGAAGACGACGACGUUGAUAGGCCGGGUGUGUAAGCGCAGCGAUGCGUUGAGCUAACCGGUACUAAUGAACCGUGAGGCUUAACCUU